rnacentral:rRNA from 1 species
GGAUGAAAGCUUGCUUUCAUCUGCUGGCGACCGGCGCACGGGUGAGUAACACGUAUGCAACCUGCCCUGUACAGGGGGAUAAUCCGGAGAAAUCCGGUCUAAUACCGCAUAACGACCUUUUGGGACAUCCCUUAAGGUCUAAAGGAAGCGAUUCCGGUACAGGAUGGGCAUGCGGCGCAUUAGCUAGUCGGCGGGGUAACGGCCCACCGAGGCGACGAUGCGUAGGGGUUCUGAGAGGAAGGUCCCCCACACUGGUACUGAGACACGGACCAGACUCCUACGGGAGGCAGCAGUGAGGAAUAUUGGUCAAUGGGCGCGAGCCUGAACCAGCCAAGUCGCGUGAGGGAAGACGGUCCUAUGGAUUGUAAACCUCUUUUGUCGGGGAGCAACAAGGCCACGCGUGGUCGAAAGUGAGAGUACCCGAAGAAAAAGCAUCGGCUAACUCCGUGCCAGCAGCCGCGGUAAUACGGAGGAUGCGAGCGUUAUCCGGAUUUAUUGGGUUUAAAGGGUGCGU